rnacentral:rRNA from 1 species
AUUGAACGCUGGCGGCAUGCUUUACACAUGCAAGUCGAACGGUAACAGGUCUUCGGAUGCUGACGAGUGGCGAACGGGUGAGUAAUACAUCGGAACGUGCCCGAGAGUGGGGGAUAACGAGGCGAAAGCUUUGCUAAUACCGCAUACGAUCUCAGGAUGAAAGCAGGGGACCGCAAGGCAUUACGCUCACGGAGCGGCCGAUGGCAGAUUAGGUAGUUGGUGGGAUAAAAGCUUACCAAGCCGACGAUCUGUAGCUGGUCUGAGAGGACGACCAGCCACACUGGGACUGAGACACGGCCCAGACUCCUACGGGAGGCAGCAGUGGGGAAUUUUGGACAAUGGGCGCAAGCCUGAUCCAGCCAUGCCGCGUGCAGGAUGAAGGCCUUCGGGUUGUAAACUGCUUUUGUACGGAACGAAAAGACUCUUUCUAAUAAAGGGGGUCCAUGACGGUACCGUAAGAAUAAGCACCGGCUAACUACGUGCCAGCCGCCGCGGUAAUAC